GACGAACGCUGGCGGCAUGCCUAAUACAUGCAAGUCGAGCGAACAGAUGAAGUGCUUGCACUUCUGACGUUAGCGGCGAACGGGUGAGUAACACGUAAGGAAUCUACCUAUAAGCGGGGGAUAACAUUCGGAAACGGGUGCUAAUACCGCAUAAUAUCUUCUUCCGCAUGGAGGAAGAUUGAAAGACGGCUCUGCUGUCACUUAUAGAUGACCUUGCGGUGCAUUAGUUAGUUGGUGGGGUAACGGCCUACCAAGACGAUGAUGCAUAGCCGACCUGAGAGGGUGAUCGGCCACAUUGGGACUGAGACACGGCCCAAACUACUACGGGAGGCAGCAGUAGGGAAUCUUCCGCAAUGGGCGAAAGCCUGACGGAGCAAUGCCGCGUGAGUGAAGAAGGCCUUCGGGUCGUAAAACUCUGUUAUAAGAGAAGAACAAAUUGUAGAGUAACUGCUACAGUCUUGACGGUAUCUUAUCAGAAAGCCACGGCUAACUACGUGCCAGCAGCCGCCGUAA
rnacentral:rRNA from 1 species